UUUCCUAUGCAUAAGCAUAGGGGGGUGCUUUCCCAUGGAUAAUAGGUCUUUUCCAAUUUAUGACAAAUGGCUAACUAACCUAACUAACUAACUAGUGCCCCACCCAAUCUCUCAGAACCCUCGUAGGGAACCCCUGUAUGGAAACCUACUUUCGAUUGAGUGCGAGAUUUAGGGAUGAAUGAUCUUUUUUCACGCUUCCCAGGCUGAGGCAAAGAAUGGGGGGACUUCCAGUUAUACUUCUACUCGGUUUAUGGAUAACAUAAGCUGGGGAAUGUGACUUACCAGGGCAAUCACUUACUCUUACUAGACAAGAUGCUACCUCUGAUAAGCAUGCUUCAUAAGGAGGACUCAAUUGAAUCUUGUGAUCAUAUCACACGCUUAAAGGUUCUGAUCCCACCAGGAAAGGAAAGUGGAUCGCUGGAAGUAGUACUGUAAUUGAGCUUGCUUACCCUAGGACUGGGGGUAACAGCUUACCAAACCAAGCUACUCAAAUAUUAAUUAAGAACAACACAAAUAUUAAUUAUACAAUUCAGAUAAUAAUAACAAGAUCCUUCUUAGGUUUCAUUCCUCUUAGGUAUUUAGGGGGUUUAGUUCAUAUUUAUGAAAGAAAACAUCUCAACAGAAUAAUGAUAACAAAACAUAAAGAAAACGCAAGAACUCUUGAAGGGAAUUGAAGGGAGAUAUUCAAUCUUGAAGGAGAAACUAGCUUUUGAGAUGGAUCAAUCGGCUUUCUUCGAGUAAUUCCCUGCCUCCUACUUCGUGUGUCCCCUCUAAGUGCCUCAUCAGGUGUUUAAAUAGGCUUUAUAAUGCCUAAAAUCCCUCAAGAGUGGCCUUUUCCUAAUAGAACUAAACUUGGGCUCGAUAGGGACACCUUCGUGUGACACGCCUGUGUGCGAUUU
rnacentral:lncRNA from 1 species